CUACAAUCAAUAAGCGGAGGAAAAGAAACUAACAAGGAUUCCCCUAGUAACUGCGAGUGAAGCGGGAAAAGCUCAAAUUUAAAAUCCGGCGGUCCUUGGCCGUCCGAGUUGUAAUCUAGAGAAGCGUUACCCGCGCUGGACCGUGUACAAGUCUCCUGGAAUGGAGCGUCAUAGAGGGUGAGAAUCCCGUCUCUGACACGGACUACCAGGGCUUUGUGGUAUGCUCUCAAAGAGUCGAGUUGUUUGGGAAUGCAGCUCAAAAUGGGUGGUAAAUUCCAUCUAAAGCUAAAUAUUGGCGAGAGACCGAUAGCGAACAAGUACCGUGAGGGAAAGAUGAAAAGAACUUUGGAAAGAGAGUUAAACAGUACGUGAAAUUGCUGAAAGGGAAACGCUUGAAGUCAGUCGCGUUGGCCGGGGAUCAGCCUCGCAUUUGCGUGGUGUACUUUCCGGUUGACGGGUCAGCAUCAAUUUUGACCGCUGGAAAAAGGCUUAGGGAAUGUGGCAGCUUCGGCUGUGUUAUAGCCCUUUGUCACAUACAGCGGUUGGGAUUGAGGAACUCAGCACGCCGCAAGGCCGGGUUUCGACCACGUUCGUGCUUAGGAUGCUGGCAUAAUGGCUUUAAGCGACCCGUCUUGAAACACGGACCAAGGAGUCUAACAUGCCUGCGAGUGUUUGGGUGGAAAACCCGAGCGCGCAAUGAAAGUGAAAGUUGAGAUCCCUGUCGUGGGGAGCAUCGACGCCCGGACCAGAACUUUUGGGACGGAUCCGCGGUAGAGCAUGUAUGUUGGGACCCGAAAGAUGGUGAACUAUGCCUGAAUAGGGUGAAGCCAGAGGAAACUCUGGUGGAGGCUCGUAGCGAUUCUGACGUGCAAAUCGAUCGUCAAAUUUGGGUAUAGGGGCGAAAGACUAAUUCGA
rnacentral:rRNA from 1 species